rnacentral:rRNA from 1 species
CUUUUCUUGUUAGUUUUUGAAGUAUGGCCUGCCCGCUGACUUUUAGUUGAAGGGCCGCGGUAUUUUGACCGUGCAAAGGUAGCAUAAUCAUUAGUUCUUUAAUUGUGAUCUGGAAUGAAUGGCUUGACGAGAUGCGAGCUGUCUUAAAUUGAAUGUUUUAUUGAAUUUGGUUUUUGAGUUAAAAUUCUUAGAUGUUUUUAUGGGACGAGAAGACCCUAUAGAGUUUGACAUGUUGGCUUGCUUAUUUAUUUGUCGUUUGUUUUGUUUUUGAUAAGUGGGCUUUAUGUUUUGUUGGGGUGAUGAGAGGAAUAUAGUUUAACUCCUCUUGGUUUAGUGGUUAUAUUGAUAUAUAUUUAUUUGAUCCAUUUAUUUUGAUUGUAAGAUUAAAUUACC